CUGAGGCUGCCCGGCUGACCUGCUGGGCUGGAGCUGCUUGCAGAGGAGCACUGCCAAGGAAGGCCACAAGCGAGCAGCAUGAGCACCGUGCUCCUGAGGAAGAGAAACCUGUGUUUGGCUGUUGGUGCCUCUGGGAUGGAGGCUGGAGCCUGCCCUGAUGCAUCAAGGAAGAGUUCCCAUCCAGGCUGUGGGCAAUUGGGCACUGCCUUGGCCAGCGUGUGGCCCAACAUCAUGCUGCUGUGCCGAGGGAAUCGCUGCCCAGUGGUAACCAGAGGCAAAGAUAAGUAGCUUAUUGUUAAGAGUUCUAGACCCACAUCUCCAGUUGCCAAUGCUUUUUCUCUCUUCUCCCUGCUCAUGGCCUCUGCCUGCUUUUUCAGGCUGUGGACACACGCACUGGGAUGGGCUUUUGGUGCAGAGGUCAGUGGAUGUAGGAAUGGAGGAGAGCCAUGCACGUAGGGCAGCUACCAGUGCUGUCUCCAUCCAAGGCAAAUUCCACUCUGGAGACCUACAUCAGCAAUUCCCACCACCCCCGAGGCGCUGUCUCCUACGCUGACCAUGGGGCACCUCAGGAGAUGGCAGAACCAAGGACUGAUGUUUGGGGUUGCUUUUUUUUUUUACUAUUUUCUUCCUGACUCAUUUCCCCAACCAAUAACUUACUGCGCUCACAAGCGAAAUAAGAACAGCUCCAAUUCCUGCUGAUGUCUGUGAGCUUUGCACGUGGCUCCAAGAGAGGUGGGACUAUCGUAGAAUACCAAAGCAAGCGGAUUGCUGAGGGCUCAGGAAUGGCAGAAAUGCCCUCAUGCGUUCUGUUUGUGACACUGCUGCUAAUUGGAGUUGCUUAAUCACACAGAGAGGCAGCUUCAGAGUAGCUUUACACCAGUCCUUCAGAUGUUUCCCUUAUCUCUGAUUUUCUGUGGCCUGCUGGGCUUUUUCCUAGUUGGUUUUCUGUCACCUAGAAAUUGCUCAGAGUGUUUAUUCCUCAGGACAUUUGAGUUUUCUCCAUGAUUCAGCCACAGACUCCUUGCUUGCCUGUCAUAAGACAUUCAAUCUUUUCAUUUCUAAGGUCCCCAUCUGUAUAGAGAGGCCAGAAAUGAGAGAAAAACAGGCAUAGUAGGGCUAGCUACAUACAGAUCCUCAAGUGUUGAGGGGACAUGCAGUUUCUUAAAUGAAUUGGUCACAUGAUACCGUUUUGGGGGGGUUUAUUUUGGUUCUUUACUGGGUAAUUGAAGCUUCAUAGACAUUAGGAAUCUGAAAAAUGCAUAUCAGUUACUUAUGUACAAACAGCUUUCUCACAGCAAUCUGGGGUUCUCGUAGGGGAGAGAGCCCUUCUAUGAGCACUGCAGCAAACAACCACCUGUUUCCACAAGUGUAAUGAUUCCCACAGCUAGAAUGAAGAGUUGAUAUUCAGGAUAUACACACAGAUUUUCCAUCUCUACAUUGCAACAUUAGCUGCGAUGCCCACCAUCAAACCUUCUCCACCAAGAAACACACCUAUUUCUCUACAUUUCUAAGCUUUCCAAAUGACCACCCCCUUCUCCAUUUAAUAAGAUCUGCAUUCCUCUGGCUUAGCUUCUACUUUUGCGAUGGGCUUGGCACCCAAAGACAUGUGUUCAAGUAGUAGGAAGCCCAAGGAUGCAGGUGGAUGAACUUGGUCCUCUAGCUGCUAUCCAACAGGAGAUGCAUGGUCAUCAAACUCAGCCCCACAGCAAGUGAAAGGCUCCUGCUACAGUGAGGGGAUGUAAUUGGACCUUGUAAGCUCUGUGACAUGGGAACCAAUUACACAGAAAUCCAAGCUUUGGCAGGCAAGUCUGCACUCUGGCGCUAGCUGGUCUCCAGCAAACGGCUGCUGUACGCAUGGUAAAGGUUAAGACUCAGCUGAUGCAGAGUUGGCAGCUGCACUGAGUCCUUUGGCAUUAACAUGCCAUCUUGGGUAAGGAAGAACAAUAGAUAAGUGCCUUCUGGCAGCCCGCUUCCAUGCUCCCAUUCAGCCCGUGACAUGUUCUUUGGGGAAGCGUUACUUGAGAAAGCAAAAGAUAAAUCAGUGUAUGGUAGGAAAAUAGCAGGAAGCUUUGGCUCAAGGCAGGCAGCUGAGGGACAGCAGAGUCCAAGCUUAUCUGCCAGUUCAAUGAAAUGGCACGGUACUGUAUAUUAAGCAAGGGAAAAGAAAGUAGUGCUGGCAUGGUGAAGAGAGACUGAUGGAAAGAACUGGACUCAAGGAGGAAUGGGUGGUUCUUUCUUAUAUGUCCUUUCCUUAACUACAUGCAAUGCAGUCCAGUGAAGAUCAGAUCACUUUCCGCAACAGUGAGGGUUGAAGAUGGAUGGGCACGGCAGGUUGGUGCUGGAAGCCAAGUGAGCAGCUGGCUAAAGCCCGUAUAGUCAAGGGAGCUCAGUGCUGGCCACCCAGGGCCUGGCCAUGGAAUGACCCUCAAGCUCCUCUGCAGUGAUAAGAGCGUCACUUCCACACUGCUGCCCUCAUGCCAUAGAAUCAUAGAAUCGCCUGGGUUGAAAGGAACCACAAUGAUCAUCUCGUUUCAACCCCCCUGCUAUGUGCAGGGUUGCCAACCACCAGACCAGGCUGCCCAGAGCCACAUCCAGCCUGGUCUUGAAUGCCUCCAGGGAUGGGGUCAUUGCAGAGAAGCUGCUUUUGAGGAAAUGGGAACACCACCAACACAAACUGCUCUGGUUUGAACUGUUAAUGGACUUUCAGACACCAUGAAAGGCAGAAGGGCAGUGUGCUUGUGGCGAAAACCAUUCUCUCCUUUCUCACAGUGAGAGGGAAAGGACAGCACUAAAGAAAUGUGAUUUUGUGUUUGAAGGAAACAAUCAACCUAUUUUUCUCUCUAUAAGGGAGCAAAAUGGCCAUAGCUGCAAAUUAAUCCAGCAGUCCACAUCAGAUCCAGGAAGAAAAUAAUUUUGUUUUGUUUUCAUCACACAUUUCAGCAAUUAAGGAUUAGAAAGCAUUGGUUUUAAAAGGGAAACACUGUAAGGUUUUAUGACCUUAUAGUUAAAACCAUAUGACUGUCUGUAAAGAUAGAAAUAAGGACAUUAAGAAACUUAUAACGAGAAGAACUUAGGACUCUAGUCUCCAGGACAGCCUAAGAAUUCUGGUUCUCCGAAACUGACGUGGCUAUUGAAGCCCAAGCUUUGCCUUUCGGUCCCCCUCUUGUUCCUUGCACACCUGGAGACCUGGCCUUUGCUCUUUGCCUCUGUGUCCUGAGCAAUUUUCAUACAUUUCUGGGCUACAGUCUCUCUCUGUUUCAUAUCAGAACCUAUCUCUUCCCUUCCAUAUCUACACUUCUAUAGCAUCUCUUUUUACUGGUAUUACUUACUCCUAAUAACUGUAAUUACAUUAUGGAUCCCUGUCAAGCUUCUAGGAACAAAGCUUGGAUGAAGAAUUCUAUACAAAAUAGACCUCUAUCACAGGAAAUUUGCACCAUGGCAAAGAGACAAGGAAGUUGUUUGAUCAUUACUUUUAUCUAGAACAAAUUGCACAUAAUAGCAUAAUAAUAUUUUCUACCAGAUUCUGUUUCUCAGACAAGCACAAUUUCUUUCUCUUUUUUUUUUUUUUUGGUAAAUUAAUCUGCAUUUAACUGAAUCAUCUAUGUAUAUCUGAGUCCCCAAAAUGAGAUACUUAAAUGUGCAUUAAAAAAUAAACAAAUGAGUAAUUCACUGAAUGCAGUCCUUGUUUCACUGCCCUUGACAUAGCCCUAGAAACUCAAAACUUUCGUAUUGACUUAAGAUAAGUGCCAUAAGACCAUUAAACAAUCCAUUGUUCUUAUGGUACCCAAUAAUCUAGUCUUUUUAUUUAAAUAUGAUAGGAAGUAAUCCCAGAGCCAAUGAAAGCAUGGAACCAACUAGGUGUAACGUUCCACAAAUGCUAUAUUGCAUGGAAGAGUUCAGCUCCUUAUCUGGAAAACAGUUGGCUGUGACCCUAUUAAACAAUUAUAUAUUAUCAGUUUUACUUGGCAACAUUUAUGUGUCAAAAUGUGUCAUGGGUUUCACAGCUUAGUUCCAGAAAUAGACUGUGAUCUGGGUGACAUCAUACUUCUCAGUAAAACCCUUUUUUUCACUUUUCUUCCUUUCAUAACCACUUGUGUUCCCGGUAUUCCCAGCCCCACGCUGGGUGCGCUCAGGCCAGCAAGAUGGAACAAGCCCUUUCCACAAUUUGGCUCCAUGGCACUUCAAAUGGGUUGAACAGUUUACCAAAACAGUGCUGGUCACCUGGUGACAAACAGGAACCUUGGUGGCUCCUCUAUGGCAGAGCAGGAAAAACACGGGAACUUUGGUGAAGACUGUUUAUAGCAAUAACCACUGCGCAAUGAAGAGACACCAAAGACUAUCAAUGAUUGAAUGGGGCUGGCGGUUCACUUUGUGAUGUAAAGGGAUAAGAAUGUGUUACUGGGAGGUGCAACUCCCGUAACUCAAACAACAUCCAUGGAUGUACUGCUCAGAGCGCUUGGCCCGAGGCACAGGGGAGAUGCCGGAUGGUGAAAGAUUAGGAAAAGCUACAAGCGGGGAGAGCUGAAAGUCUCCUCUCAGAAGCUUAUUGGGAUAUUUAAGCAGUAAGCGACUGGAUUCUUAAAUGCAAAGUGGGAGAAAGUGGCAUUGUGAAACUGCAUUGCAAAAUCCUAUUAAGUCAAAGUUGCAAACAGCUACGCAACUGUCUGUUGUGUCGGAGCAGGAAGCCUGGGCACCAUUUUAAUGAGUCAUGAUCAAACAUCAUGCUGUCAUCUCAAUUUUUUCUCAAGUGCAUAUCAGGAAACAGAAAUGAAUUCUAGAGUUUUUAGCAUUCAAAGAAGAAAGUGCAUAAAGUUUUCUGCUCUCUGUAUGCUAAUCCUUUUCUUCAAAAUAUUAAGGGUGCGAUAUAAUUAAAAAUGUAAAAGGAGUUACCAUAGUAAACUCGAGGUCUUCAUGAACUAACCCACAGACCACAGCAUUUUCCUUUAUUUUGAAGCAUAACUGCAUUUUACCUCGCAAAUGUAGACAAACAUCCUCCAGGUUGUAAGCUGAAGGAAAUACGUAAGAAAGGAAAACAAAUUAAAAGAAGACAUAUGAAAAGUUUUCUCAGAAUCACUCAAGAAAAUUAACUUGAAACAACUAACCUACAUGUGGGAACAGAGUACUUCUACCACAUUAAACUGCAGGGCAACAGAACUCAAGUUUUAGCUAUUCCGGUAUUUAUUUAAUUUACUUUGGAAAUGAAUUAAGCAAUGGCGAAGUUAAGGCAUUUUCAUCACAAGCUGAAGAAAAGCUGAAUAAUGUACCUCAAGGUUUUUGAGUUUCUUUUGGAAGCUCCUUUGAGGCUCUUCAUACAAACUGCUCUUCAGUGGUCAGUCAGCACCUGGAUAUGGAGCGCUCCUGUCAGUUCCUAUAGCAGUUUGGAAGCAACAGUGGCUUUUUCUGCAACACUGAGAAGCCUAAAAUAAAGACAUAUUUAGGAAUUAAUUGUGUUUUCUCUUUCUUUACCAUUUCUUCUUUUUUUUUUCUUCAAAAGACAGAAGCAAAAUAAGAAGGAGAGAAGGGUAAAAGGGUAAAAGCACAGUGGAACUACAGAACAAACAAGAUGGCAAAAUAACAAAACUAUUUUUUAAUAAGCUGGGAAUUUGCCUCAGUAUGCAGUUCUUGGAGGAGAGGCGGCUCUGCGAGCUGGCCAGGUUCCCCACCGCACACAUAUGGACACCUGGAAGGAGAGGCAAAAUGAGCUUUACUCUUGUGCAACCCGAAGGUUACAUUUCUGUGACAAGUCUAAGUACUUCUUAUUAAGGAAAGGUUGAAAGACUGCAGAAAUGAUAAACAUCAGUUUUCAGUGGUGCAGUGAUAAACAGGCAUCAAAUAGGGAUCUUUAUUCUCCCCACAAAGAAUAACUGCUUACACCGAUGGGCUACACUGCUGGAAAGCUGUGUUUGAGAGGGGAAUCCAACAGGAGAAAAUAGAAUAUACAGAGAAAAGCACUGGAGAUGUGGAGGGAGAGCAGAGGAAAAAAAUGCUAUAAAUAAAAGCUAUUUGAAUUGAACUGUUCUUGAUCUUUAAUGAAUGAUGUUUCCUAAAGGCAAGAGAGGAACAAGAACUGUGAUGAGGGAGACAAACAUCCUCUAAAGAUCCAGGAGGUAUUUCCCAGAGUCCCAGCCCUGAGGCUGAAUGGGGACAGGGCUGGACUUGCCCAAGGAAAAGCCCAAAGUGAAGGAGAAACACUAUAAAGUGCAAAGGAGAGGAGAGGCAUCGUACUCUCACUGGGGCUGAGCAAGGGGUAGAGGAGGAUCAGGCACUAAAUGUUGCUCAUGUGUCAACUUGUUCUUCUAAACAAAGCACCUUCAAUCUGUAAUGAUUUUAGUGGCCUUUCUAAACCCCAGUUCAUAGGUUGUUAAUUCUCUAGCAUGACUUUUGUUUUUA
ensembl:lncRNA